rnacentral:lncRNA from 1 species
GGUUUCUGAUCACCAGUAAGGACAAGCAUCGCCAGGGCUCUGCUCUGGCAUGAGGUUCAGUAUAUCUGGAUUUAUGUUGCGGCCCUUGAUCUACUUGGACUUGAGUUUUGUACAGAGUGAUAAA